rnacentral:rRNA from 1 species
AUUGAACGCUGGCGGCAUGCCUUACACAUGCAAGUCGAGCGGCAGCACGGGUGCUUGCACCUGGUGGCGAGUGGCGAACGGGUGAGUAUUACAUCGGAACAUGUCCUGUAGUGGGGGAUAGCCCGGCGAAAGCCGGAUUAAUACCGCAUACGAUCUACGGAUGAAAGCGGGGGACCUUCGGGCCUCGCGCUAUAGGGUUGGCCGAUGGCUGAUUAGCUAGUUGGUGGGGUAAAGGCCUACCAAGGCGACGAUCAGUAGCUGGUCUGAGAGGACGACCAGCCACACUGGGACUGAGACACGGCCCAGACUCCUACGGGAGGCAGCAGUGGGGAAUUUUGGACAAUGGGCGAAAGCCUGAUCCAGCAAUGCCGCGUGUGUGAAGAAGGCCUUCGGGUUGUAAAGCACUUUUGUCCGGAAAGAAAUCCUUGGCUCUAAUACAGUCGGGGGAUGACGGUACCGGAAGAAUAAGCACCGGCUAACUACGUG